rnacentral:rRNA from 1 species
ACUGGAAUGAACGGCUAAAUGAGGACUUAACUGUCUCUUGCAGCAAGCCAAUGAAAUUGAUUUUCCAGUACAAAAGCUGGAAUAUACCCAUAAGACGAGAAGACCCUGUGGAGCUUAUAAACCUAAACCAAUAAACAUGGCCUCAAGGUUUUUAGUUGGGGCGACUUUGGAGCACAAAAAAACCUCCAAAAACUUAUAUAUUUAGACCCACACAUCAAAAUAUUACAUUAGACCCAGCAACUACCCUAACCUAUUGUCUGACUAAUGAACCAAGUUACCCCAGGGAUAACAGCGCCAUCCCCUUUUAGAGUCCCUAUCGACAGGGGGGUUUACGACCUCGAUGUUGGAUCAGGACACCCCAAUGGUGCAGCCGCCAUUAAAG